rnacentral:rRNA from 1 species
GACGAACGCUGGCGGCGUGCUUAACACAUGCAAGUCGAACGAAGUGGCGAACGGGUGAGUAACGCGUACUCAACCUGCCCUUCAGAGGGGUACAACAGUUGGAAACGACUGCUAAUACCGCAUACUGAAGGAGGGGAUUGCGUCUGAUUAGCUAGUUGGAGGGGUAACGGCCCACCAAGGCGAUGAUCAGUAGCCGGUCGGAGAGGAGGAACGGCGACAGUGGGACUGAGACACGGCCAAGAAUCCUACGGGAGACAGAAGUGGGGAAGCUGCCGAAAUGGACGAAAGUCUGACGGAGCAACGCCGCGUGAGUGAUGACGGCCUUCGGGUUGUAAAGCUCUGUUAAUCGGGACGCGGUACCGGAAUAGAAAGCCACGGCUAACUACGUGCCAGCAGCCGCGGUAAUUC